rnacentral:rRNA from 1 species
AUUGAACGCUGGCGGCAGGCCUAACACAUGCAAGUCGAGCGGGGUUUUCGGACCUAGCGGCGGACGGGUGAGUAAUGCGUAGGAAGCUACCCGAUAGAGGGGGAUACCAGUUGGAAACGACUGUUAAUACCGCAUAAUGUCUACGGACCAAAGUGUGGGACCUUCGGGCCACAUGCUAUCGGAUGCGCCUACGUGGGAUUAGCUAGUUGGUGAGGUAAUGGCUAACCAAGGCGACGAUCCCUAGCUGGGUUGAGAGGAUGAUCAGCCACACUGAAACUGAGACACGGUCCAGACUACUACGGGAGGCAGCAGUGGGGAAUAUUUGACAAUGGGCGCAAGCCUGAUCCAGCCAUGCCGCGUGUGUGAAGAAGGCCUUCGGGUUGUAAAGCACUUUCAGUGGGGAGGAAGCGUUGUGUGUUAAUAGUACACAGCGUUGACGUUACCUACAGAAGAAGCACCGGCUAACUCUGUGCCAGCCGCCGCAGUAACAC